GCCACAUGAUGAUAUUGAUGAGCAUUAGCACAUUGUGCAAAGAUGACUUCCAUCUAUCACCCAUAACUGAUGGCU